rnacentral:rRNA from 1 species
UGGGGAAUUUUGGACAAUGGGGGAAACCCUGAUCCAGCCAUCCCGCGUGUGCGAUGAAGGCCUUCGGGUUGUAAAGCACUUUUGGCAGGAAAGAAACGUCGCGGGUUAAUACCCCGCGAAACUGACGGUACCUGCAGAAUAAGCACCGGCUAACUACGUGCCAGCAGCCGCGGUAAUACGUAGGGUGCAAGCGUUAAUCGGAAUUACUGGGCGUAAAGCGUGCGCAGGCGGUUCGGAAAGAAAGAUGUGAAAUCCCAGAGCUUAACUUUGGAACUGCAUUUUUGAACUACCGGGCUUAGAGGUGUGUCAGAGGGAGGUGGAAUUCCGCGUGUAGCAGUGAAAUGCGUAGAUAUGCGGAGGAACACCGAUGGCGAAGGCAGCCUCCUGGGAUAACACUGACGCUCAUGCACGAAAGCGUGGGGAGCAAACAGGAUUAGAUACCCUGGUAGUCCACGCCCUAAACGAUGUCAACUAGCUGUUGGGGCCUUCGGGCCUUGGUAUGGCGCAGCUAACGCGUGAAGUUGACCGCCUGGGGAGUACGGUCG